UUGACCUCGGAUCAGGUAGGGAUACCCGCUGAACUUAAGCAUAUCAAUAAGCGGAGGAAAAGAAACCAACCGGGAUUGCCUCAGUAACGGCGAGUGAAGCGGCAAGAGCUCAAAUUUGAAAUCUGGCCCCCUCGGGGUCCGAGUUGUAAUUUGCAGAGGAUGCUUCGGGUGCGGCCCCCGUCUAAGUGCCCUGGAACGGGCCGUCAUAGAGGGUGAGAAUCCCGUCUGGGACGGGGUGUCCGCGUCCGUGUGAAGCUCCUUCGACGAGUCGAGUUGUUUGGGAAUGCAGCUCUAAAUGGGUGGUAAAUUUCAUCUAAAGCUAAAUACUGGCCGGAGACCGAUAGCGCACAAGUAGAGUGAUCGAAAGAUGAAAAGCACUUUGAAAAGAGAGUUAAAAAGCACGUGAAAUUGUUGAAAGGGAAGCGCUUGCGACCAGACUCGCCCGCGGGGUUCAGCCGGCAUUCGUGCCGGUGUACUUCCCCGCGGGCGGGCCAGCGUCGGUUUGGGCGGCCGGUCAAAGGCCUCCGGAAUGUAGUGCCCCUACGGGGGCACCUUAUAGCCGGGGGUGCAAUGCGGCCAGCCUGGACCGAGGAACGCGCUUCGGCACGGACGCUGGCAUAAUGGUUGCAAACGACC
rnacentral:rRNA from 1 species